UGCCUUGUUCUAAAGGAAAGACAAAGAAUUAAAAGUUAAAAGUUUCUUCAGUUUGCUGAGAGGGAUGUCUGAUCACUCAGCCUCAUAUAUCUGUUAUUUUUGGUUCCACAGACUCGGAAACUGUACGGCUGCCUUAUGAAGAGUCUGAAUUCUUGGAUUACCUUGAUGCACAAGAGCUUCCUCCUAUCCUGGUUGAUCUGUUGGAAAAAUCACAGGUAUUGUUC